UACGGAGGGUGCGAGCGUUGUCCGGAAUCACUGGGCGUAAAGGGCGCGUAGGCGGCGCGGGGAGUCAACGGUGAAAGCUCGGCGCUCAACGCCGAGUCGGCCGUCGAUACUCCCGUGCUCGAGCACUGUAGAGGCAGGUGGAAUUCCGGGUGUAGCGAUGGAAUGCGUAGAGAUCCGGAAGAACACCGGUGGCGAAGGCGGCCUGACUGGCAGUAGCUGGACGCUGAGGCGGCGACAGCG
rnacentral:rRNA from 1 species